GAUGAACGCUAGCGGCAGGCUUAAUACAUGCAAGUCGUGGGGCAGCAUGGUGUAGCAAUACACUGAUGGCGACCGGCAAACGGGUGCGGAACACGUACAGAACCUUCCUUCAAGUGGUGAAUAGCCCAGAGAAAUUUGGAUUAAUACACCGGAACAUAUGAGAGUGGCAUCACUUUUAUAUUAUAGCUCCGGCGCUUGAAGAUGGCUGUGCGGAUGAUUAGGUAGUUGGCGGGGUAACGGCCCACCAAGCCUACGAUCAGUAACUGGAGUGAGAGCACGACCAGUCACAAGGGGACUGCGACACGGGCCCGACUCAUACGGGAGGCAGCAGUAAGGAAUAUUGGUCAAUGGACGCAAGUCUGAACCAGCCAUGCCGCGUGAAGGAUGAAGGUCCUCUGGAUUGUAAACUUCUUUUAUCUGGGACGAAAAAGGGGCUUUCUAGCUCAACUGACGGUACCAGAGGAAUAAGCACCGGCUAACUCCGUGCCAGCCGCCGCCGUAAUAC
rnacentral:rRNA from 1 species